rnacentral:rRNA from 1 species
UCUAAUCAGUGAAACUAAUCCCCCUGUGAAAAAGCAGGAAUAAACUUGCAAGACGAGAAGACCCUUUGGAGCUUUAGACAAUGUGAUGACCCCCCCCCCCCUCAUCCCUAGUCUUCGGUUGGGGCAACCACGGAAAAUAAAAGAACCUCCGAGAUAUACACCCGCAAAAGCCACACCUUAAAACAUCAAACUGACAUUAAUUGACCCAGCAUUCUGACCAACGAACC